rnacentral:tmRNA from 1 species
GGGGUCGAAUUGGAUUUGACAGCGAUAGAAGUUGUUGAGUGUAAGCAUGUAGAGCCUUGUGGUGAAGCUCUUAAAUCUUUUGCCGCAAACUAUAAUUGACAACACGUCAUACAGACUUGCUGCCUAAUUUACUGAAUGUAAAUUAAGCUUAAUCUAGUGGAAUAAUAGUACACAGACAAGUUCCCUCUCCCACGUUUCCGUCUGAUAAACAGGGAUCAAGAGGGACCAAAUUUUUCAGAAUAGUACCAGUGAUACUUCUAAGCUGGUGCGAAACUCAGAAGAUAAGUGAAUUUAUUGGGUGUCUUUGUCCGAGGGUUCAUCGAAAAUUAACCGAAGAAUAAACAUGUAGAAAGCUUAGUUGCUCGUCGUUUGGACGAGGGUUCGAAACCCUCCGACUCCACCA